UUCUCAUCAAGUUCUCAAAACCCAAUACCAACAAUGUUUGCUACUAGUUCAACUACACCAUUCUCGGCAUAUGAUCCUCAACAAUAUUAUCGUCCUACUAUGCCGUCUACAAAUAUUUUUGGUAUACAACAUACUGAUGAUGAGGUUGUCGUUGAAGAUGUUGAUGAAGAUGAUUCAAACGAGGAGGAGCCACAAUUGGUGACACGUGGAAGAGCAAGAAUCUCACAGCGGAAUGAACAACAAUUAAGAGUUCAACCACCAAGAAGGAGAAAACCACCUCCAUGUGGCACUUCAUCACACAGACGUCAUUAAAU
rnacentral:lncRNA from 1 species